rnacentral:rRNA from 1 species
GACGAACGCUGGCGGCGUGCUUAACACAUGCAAGUCGAGCGAGGCCCCUCCUUCGGGAGGGCGUCCUAGCGGCGAACGGGUGAGUAACACGUGGGCAACCUGCCCUCAGCUCUGGGAUAACUCCGGGAAACCGGGGCUAAUACCGGAUACGACCUCCACGGGCAUCUGCGGAGGUGGAAAGUUUUUCGGCUGAGGAUGGGCCCGCGGCCCAUCAGCUAGUUGGUGGGGUAGUGGCCCACCAAGGCGACGACGGGUAGCCGGCCUGAGAGGGCGACCGGCCACACUGGGACUGAGACACGGCCCAGACUCCUACGGGAGGCAGCAGUGGGGAAUAUUGCGCAAUGGGCGAAAGCCUGACGCAGCGACGCCGCGUGAGGGACGAAGGCCUUCGGGUUGUAAACCUCUUUCAGCAGGGACGAAGCGAAAGUGACGGUACCUGCAGAAGAAGCACCGGCCAACUACGUG